GACGGUGUUGUAGAUUCAAAUCUUAUGACCUAAUAGCAUAGAUAAUUAUAGAUGCAGAUAGACUGAUAGUUGAAUUGCGAAAAAUAAAAAGCAUUUGGGCAUUUAAAUGUGAUGUGUGUGCCAGACCGUCGUGUCUAUUUAAAAGCUGCAAGAUGGUCUACCUACUCCUAUCUAAAUACGUUACGCAACUAUGGAGUUAGAACUAGAAUCGUGAUAGCUUGCAGGUUUCCUCCCAACAUCUUCAUAGUCGCAUCGCGUCAAAUUAAUUCUACAUAAGAAUGUUGGGUCGUCAUCGUCUGCGAGAGUUAUCCGCUGGAAAUUAGCAUUUUAUAGUAACUUACGUUCUAUGAAGCUUGUAUACAAAUUCACUAAUAAAAUGUAAUCGAACCAAACUAUCGUUUUCAUAAAGUUUGUCCACUGCUAAAGUUAAAUCUUUUUUUGAUUCUUCAAAACCUCUCUUGAAUGUUAUGAAAUAUUUCCCUUUGUGGAACGUUUUAAAAACCAUUUUAACUUGUUAAGUAGAAUAAUCUAUACUA